rnacentral:misc_RNA from 1 species
GCGCAUUUUGGCGGGAAUGCUGACCGCCGUACAAAGCCGAGACACCGGAGUGGAGAAGAGCUAUUUGAUAUGGUGAAGGACCUACACGUGGUGUUUGGCAAGGGAGACGGAAGCCAGGCUGCUCCGACGGGCGAGGAUGGUCGUGCCGCGAUGUGGAAGAAGAAGUCUAUCUUUUGGGAGCUACCUUAUUGGCAACGUUUAGAGGUCCGUAACGCGAUUGAUGUGAUGCAUCUGACGAAGAAUCUUUGCGUGAACUUGAUAAGCUUCCU